rnacentral:lncRNA from 1 species
CCUCUCCACUUCUGAUCAAGGCCACAGAUGACAGACAGCCCAAGAGAGCUAGAGCACUUCACACAAACACUAAAAGGAACAAUCCCAUGGAAAAGGUUGAGAAAGUGUUCAGCACCAAGUCAAAGCCACCUUGUCCUAUCUGCAAAGAUGAGAUGCACGGCGUCAUAAAGUGCCCUACCUUUGCAGCAAAAUCUCUGGAAGAUAAGAAGACCUUCAUACGGGAAAACAAAUUGUGCUACGGAUGUUUGAGAAAGGGACACAACAGUAAGGAUUGCAGAACGCGACAUUCUUGUGGCAUAUGCAGCAGACGUCACCCCACCUGUCUACAUGAAGAGAGAGAGAACCAAUCUGUUGAAACAAAAGAGAAACAGUCCACUUCCACAGACAAAGGUACUAGUCAGGAGGAGAUCAAAGUGACGUCCCAUGCAGUGACGCAGCGCGUCUUUGCCACAUCAAGCAUCGUCCCUGUUUUCAUGUCAUCUGCAAAUGAACCACAGAAAGAAGUUAUAACUUAUGCUCUUCUGGAUACGCAGAGUGAUUCGACAUUCAUUUUAGAAGACCUUCUCGAAGAGCUAAAUGUGGAGACUAAACCAGUACUGCUCAAACUGAGCACCAUGACAGCUGUUGACACACCCAUAGCAAGCAAAAGUGUCUACGGUCUACAAGUUCGAGGACUACAGUCUGAAAAACAGAUUCAGCUAUGCCAAGCCUACACUCGUGGCUUCAUCCCGGUCGACAAGUCCUACAUCCCGACUUCCAAAACAGCGCUGCUCUGGCCUCAUCUAAAGCAUCUAGCAAACAAACUCCCGCUGCUGAAGGACUGUGAGGUGGGACUGUUAAUUGGAAGUGAUUGCCCGUUGGCGUUAGCCCCCCAGGAAGUCAUCACAGGAGGCGAAAAUGAUCCAUUCGCCCAGAGAACGGAACUCGGCUGGACCAUUGUAGGCUCAUCCAAUCCACAUCUGGAUCGUCAGGGAAACCAGAGGUUCGUCCAUCGAGUGACAGUGAAGGAAAUACCAGCGCCAUCACCCACUGAUGUGCUGAAGGUCUUGGAAUCAGACUUCAAUGAAAGGAAGUAUGCAGACAAAGACAAGUAUGUGUCACAAGACGAUGUUCGCUUCAUUCAGCUCCUGAGUGACAACAUAACUCAAAGGAAGAUGGACACUAUGAAAUAACAACAAGAAGCUGGCAACAAUUCGAUUGCAGCACCUAAAGAAAAGAUUGAAAAAUAAUGAGCGAUAUAAAGAACAGUACAAGGCCUUCAUGAAAGAUAUGAUAAAGAAAGGCGAUGCAGAGCCAGUGUUCCACCCCAAGAAGCCAGAGAAGCUAAGGGUCGUCUUUGACUGUUCAGCAAAGUUCUGUGGUGUCUCACUAAAUGAUACACUGCUAACAGGUCCUGACCUGACCAACUCUCUCCUUGGAGUGCUCUGUCGUUUCAGGAAAGAGG